UGCUGCUGCUGCUGCUGCUACUACUACUACUACUACUACUAUUACUAUUACUAUUACUACUACUAGUAGUACUAUUACUCUUACUAUUACUAUUACUACUACUACUACUUCUACUACCACUACUACUAUUAGAGUGUCUACUGUAGAUGUACGCAUAUAUCUGCAUGUACCAAAGAACAGUUGAACAUAUAUGUACAUCUGAUGUAUACAUGGACAUGUGCACGUUGGGAAACGUACAGAUCGGCACGCGUACAGAGAACAAAAGCCGGUAAAAGAGUACUUUUGAUGCGAAAACCGGAGCGCAACGAUAAAUGAGAAACUCGAGUCUCGUUGAAGCUGGAAUAUCCUGUAAGCGUCGGACAUAAAUGUGAUCCGUAGUUGGUUGAGGAGUAACGUUCUUGGACUAAUUGCUUGUAAUAUACGCGAGCAUCGCAGAUCGAUAAAGAUCUCUGUCCAACCAAAAGCGACCGAAAUCGUUGGUCUGACGCCGAUAAAGAAUUACAUCUUUGCGCGUUGCUUUUGAUACGUAAAAUCGUAUGGCGAUCUCGGGUCAGCAACGCGAUCGUGAAUCGUCGAAGAAUGACCCGCGACGCGUCAACUUUGACCGCUUAAAGGAUCCUCCGAACGGACGAUCGUCGCCGCGAUCCAUUCUUCGAUCCUCGACGUAUGUUCUAUGAUCGAUCUCGCAACAGUCAUGUUGUCAUCGUAGCUUCCCUUGGAAGAGUGGGCUGGGCAGCGUGGCUGACCCGAGGUCGAAGGAUCGCAUCGCGUCGACGGGCACCAGAGUGUUUGGCGUUGAAAAAGAGACGACGAGAUAUAGCCUUUUUCGAUAAGAAAGCCGAACAUCGUAUUCAUUGCCACUCUACAGUCACUCGCCUACAGAAUGAUUUCUGCUACCCUGUUCCUUGGCAGCCGGAUCGUAGCGCGGCAUCGAUAGAUUGUACGGGGCAAAAUACGAUCGCGUUCGCGGUACGCGUGAACCACGCAGCUACAAACAGUCUGGAUGCGUUCAAUGGAAAUGCGGUACAGCGAUAAGUUCAAUGUAUGUACGUGUAUAUGUUUAACGGAGACACUUAGAGCGUAAAACGUGAUAAGGCUAUAAGACAGUAUAAGUUUGGAGCUGGGAGCCGUGCAAUGUUGUUAUCGGACGAAUGAAAGCGGACGGGUAUAACAGUGGUAAGAAUGCGGAAAGAGAGAACGAGAGGGAGUGCGAGAGAAACGAGGAGAAAAUAAUGGACAAAAUGGGAAUUUGCCAGGAGCGAAAGUUAUCGCCAGGAACCAGAGGAAAGAAGAUAUUUUUUUAUUUUUUUAACGAGAUCUUGGAGACGAAAAAGAGAUAACAAAGUUUACACGCAAGAAAGAAAUAGGAAAAUGGAGGAACAAAGAGGAAGGCGGAAGAAAAUGAAGCGGCAGAGAGCUUGCGUGCGUGCGUGCGUGCGUGCGUGAGUGAGCGAGUGUGCUUUCGUGUUCUUUGUUCUGUGUGCGUGUUUAUGUUCGUACGUGUGUUUAAAUGGCGGUCGGAAAUGUAUGGGAGAGCGUGCGUGCGAAAGAUAGAAUGAGAGACGGAGCGCGGAAAAUGGAAAAUACAGAGCUAAGUGCAUCCCAGAGGCGGGCACAGUGCAUGCGUUUUUUACGUAGAAAUAGAAAGUCUGACUGCUUUUGAUUUGUGGAAAUUUUUACGGGAAAUAGUUAACGUCUCUUAGAUAUUAAAGAAAACGAGUUGUUCGAGUAAAAACAAGCUGAAAAAAAGUAAAAACGUUGAGAAAAGCACAGAAAAAAAGGACGAAGAAGAAAGGACGAAUGAAAUUUACAAUAGCGACGACGAUGAAAAGGAAGAUUGAAUUUUUUAAAUGUCGUUUCGCCUUUGUACGUAUCUUUUUAUGUACAUUUACACGUCGACGUUUGUUUUUUAUCGUAAAAAUUUCACCAUUUGUAUUCGUAAGUUAUCAUAUAGGAGACUCCUGUUACUAAUACUACUGUUUACUUAAGAUAGCCCCUUAUUUCCUAGCGUGUAAAACGAUGAAAACGCAAAUUUCUAUAUAAUUUUGUAAUAUAAUCGAUGCCGAGGAUACGAAUGAAAUUAGAGGAAACUUACAAGUGCAACUUAAGUCUUAACUUGAAGUUACCAAGCUGCGAGGUUUUCAUACUCUCGAAAGAUAUAAUUUUUUAUUAAAGCAAUUUUUUGCGGAGCUCGUUUUAAUCGAUCAUCUUUAUUUUUUUAUAUAUACCAGUGGUAGUAUUUUCUGCCCACCUCUGGGUAAAAACGGCGUACGAACGAAUAACAAAAAGAAAAAAAAGAAAAAAAAGUCACGCGACGUCUGUCGUGAUGCAAGACGCGAUUUUACCCCUUCUUACACUGCAUUUCUAUUUUUAAUAAUGUAUGCUCUUUCAUAUUUCGCUGCAUCGGGAUACGACACGAUAGCGUCGCAAUAAAUAAAUCUUUGUCGCGUUUUGUAAAUAAAUCGUCGAGGGUCGCGUCUUGUAUAUCGACGGAGGUUUUCUUAGGAAAAAUAUCGAAGAAAAAAAAGGAACAAAAAAAAAAAAACGAAAAAGUAACCAAAAAAAAAAAACGAAGAGUAAAUGAUAAAAAAAAAAAAAAAAGAAAAAAGAAAUGGAGGAGAAAAGGCGAAAGCAAGAAUAUUACUAGUCAAUCCUCGAUCCACGAAAGUUGCAUGGAAAUUACGAAACGAACGAGAAAACGUUUUUUAUUUUCGAUUCGUAAAAGGAAAAGACUUUCUUUGUAUCUCGAUCCCUGAAUUUUUGAUAAAAACCAAUGGGUAUUAUUAACGCGAUUUAAAUAUGUGUCCUACUGAUUUAGAGACUAUUUACACGAUUCGAGAAAUCCUUUUUGUACGUUAUUUCUACGUUCACCUGUAAUUUAACAUUGUCCACGUUAUUGUAGCGAAUAGCGUAUUGUAUCGUUGUAUGGUGAUCUUUAUUUUUAAACACAUUUUUAUUAUCGUUGGUAACGUUAAGGGUACUUUAGCUCGUCUGUAACCGAGGAAAGUUUUCAAGUACUUUAUUAUUGUAUUUGGAUAUAGCAACGUUGACUUGGUUCCCCUUAUUUCAUAUUUUUCUGUUUUGUUAAUGAAUUUCUAUUCGUACUACGGUUAAAUGCAAAUUAUGCAUACUUCAACGAUAUCGUUUCGUCUCUGUUUUUUUCCACAUUUCAUACACUUUUGCAUUACGCUUGCCAUACACAUACGGUUAAAUACACACCCAGACACACACGCAUACACACAUACACACGAAUACAGGCACUCUUACACAAAAUACGCACAUACACACGUAGCACAUCCUUCUCCCUUGCUUCCUACAAACUCGUCGAACGAUUCGAAGCCCGAUACAACCGAAGGACCUCGAUCGAGUGUACGACAGAAGACGUUAGCGGCUCGGAACUGGCACGAAUCAAAUCCACGUUCGACUUUUACGCUACUCUCAUUCUAACGAAACAAUCUUUCAACGAUGAUAAACCGAGAUAGAUGUAUAAAAGACGAUCGCAAGUACAUUGAACACCGUGCGGUCCUUCGAGAAAAGGCAAACGAGGUGGACUUGAUUCACCAUGCAAGUCGUACGUAUACAGGUUUUUUAUAUGUUUCCAUGAAAACGAAAGGAGCGAGCGGGAUAGAGAGGAGGAGAGCGGAAACAAUGAGAGAAAAAAAAAAGGCGUAGGAAAAAUAAUAGUUUUAUCGUUUGGUUUGUUAUAGUAUUAAAGUUAACGUUAAUGGACGAUCGAUUCGAUCGCGGCUUGAAAAGAUCGAUGUGUCCGACUGAACGAACGACGAUCCAAGUGAACAGCGCCUGAGAGGAAAUCGCGCUGUACGUACGUCUUUAGGAUAUUGUACACAUUACGCUUAACGUAACUUUAAGUAAGUAACUACGCUUAAGUGAAACAAACCACUUAUUACUAAUUUGAUGGUUGCGCUGGUUCGUCUCUCUAUUUUCGCCUUCGUAGAUUUAUAUAAAAUAGUUACACACUCUCUUUAUCGAUAGGCAAAGCUCACGGAUGAACGAAAUGUAUCUUCUUUGUCUUUCUAUAUGAUACUUUCUUCCAUCGAGAAUCUUUUCAAUAAACACCAUUCACUCUAUGAAAUCACGGUCAACGAUUUUUUACGCGAAACGUGGACGCAACGAACAAUCGUCUUUUUUUAUUUUUUUAUUCUUUUUCUUUUUUUCUUUUUCUGAAAAAUUGCCGGUCGCAAAACGUUGCACCUUCGUCGUUGGACUUGAUUCGGUUCAGUUCCCCGAGACUCUGGUAGAUUUCGGAACGCUAGCGUUGAGGUAGAACUUCGCUUCGGAAAUAAUUAUUUCGAGAAAUCCGAGUGAAACCACACGAACGAAGGAACGAUCGAAAGUUGUCGUUAGCGAGCUGGUCGCUCGACGAAUUUUACCAUUCGAUGAAAAUCCUCGGUGCAAACCGAGCGCGUUCUCGUUUCCCUUGAUCGCAUUCGUUCCGCGUAUUCCACGUUUUCUCGGAUUUUAUUACGAACUAACCGAUCGUUCGUUAAACAUAGGUUCAUCGACUUACGUACGAGUCGACAUUUUUGUAGAAAUUUCGACGAAAGAGAAAGAGGCAGAACGCGAUAUCGUAACGAUAAACCGUUCUCUGCGUUCGUAUCCCGCCGACACCGUCUCCACAAGUUCGACUAGCAUUUUUAACGAUAUUUAGUCUCUUUACCUUACUCGAAUCGAUUAUAUAUCGUGUAAGAACCAUUCAACUACUUUUAAACGCCGCAUUUGUGCGCUAGGUUAGCAUUUAAGUAUGUCGAAGCAAUACUACUAUGUGUAUGCGAUAUAUUUCUUACGUCGAGAAUUUUAGAUCCAACUUUCUUCUCGUUAUCGAAAGUGCGCGAGAUCGAAGUUAUUCGAACGAAGAGCCAGCCAGGACUCUUGCCGCGAAACAAGGGAAUUCGCGUUGCUGUCUUCUUCUUCUUCUUCUUCUUCUUUUUCUUUCCUUUUUUCUUUUCCUCCUUUCGUUUUCUCAAACGAAUCGAGCGUCGCGCGAUUUUCUGCAAAAUCGUCGGAGACGGAUAUUGGGGCAGAGCGUCACUCGGCAAGAUACAGGACACGAUAUCCUAGAGCUUAUCUCUCCUAUCGCGAAUCAUGUGCAGAUCUGUUUGUUAUUCCGCGGACACGUGAUUACUCGUCGAUCGAUUCUGGUAAAAGUACACUGUAGCGCAAAGGAUGUCUCGAAUCGAAGCGAAGUUACGAAACUUUCUUUAACCCGACACAAAGCGGGGAGAUUUCGCGAGGUGCUAAAAGACAACAUAGAUCUCCGUUCUCUUUGUCGCGAUUAUGUUCGAAUUCACGCUGUGAUCAGUUCCGCGUAAACUAAACGGAAGGUUGUACGCGAUCGUAGGAUCGGAUUCGAAAAAUUUUCUUCGAAUCGUUCGGCUCUCGUUCGAAUGGCGGAAAUUGAACGAGAGAGAGAGAGAGAGAAAGAGAGAGCGUGCGUGAUAUCGUGGGAUCGCGAUCCAUCGAUAGAAAGAUCGCGAGAGAUAAUUGUAGCUUAGCCAAUACAACGCACGUACACGAUAGAAUUUAUUUUUUUGGUCACAGAGUACCGUUCUAGGUGCGUAAGUAUAUCGAUAUACGUUUAGUGCGAACGACGAAUGAGGGAUUCGUUGUCAGUGAGGCGAGCGAACGAAAGAAAGAGGAGCAGCAAAGCCGAAAACGCGACGAGAAGAAAAAUCGGUCUCGAGACAGAGCGAGAGAGUGAAAGCGAGAGAGAGAGUGUGUGUUUGUGUGUGUGUGUGUGAGAGAGAGAGAGAGAGAAGAAAGUUUUUUGAGCGAGCGUAUAAUCGCGAAGAAUGGAAAAAAGAAAGCUCGUGUGUCGGGGGUGCUCGGUCUGUACGUACGUAUAUGCAUGUAUGCCUGUAUACGUGUACACGUGUGUACGUGUUUACGUGCGAAGGUGCGUGAUGCGUGUAUAUGUGUUUGUGUGUGCGCUCGCAUACGUUUAAUCGCAAUUGAUCGCGCGACGAAUCGUUGGACGCGAAUAAACACGGGAACGAACGGCGAACACGCGCAACGAUCGCGACGAUCGCGGCUGAAAGAAGAGGAAGGCGCGCGCGUCGUUGAUCGGUAAUAGCGACGGAGUGAGUUCGAGAGAAUUGCGAAUGUUUCGCGUCGAUUCGAGUUGAGGCGAAUUCCUUUACUCGUUAAACGAUGGACGCAUGGAACGACGAUCGAUUCGAUCGGCGAAUCGGUAAAACGUUAUUCUCGAAUUCACCCGUGAAUUUUCAAUGUUACUGGCACCGGUUCGCCUUCGUUUCGCGCGAUCCCCUUAUUAUCGUUAACUAAACUUUCUAUAUUUCGCGAACACGAAUCAACCUUGUCGAGUACGCGGCUCUAUGUUCUUUUAAAACUUUGUAGGCCAAGUUUUUAGCGAUUUUUAAAGAAAGAAAAAGACGAAAAAAAGAAAAGCGAAUAAAAUAUAUAUAUAAGAGAGAAGUGUUAUCGCGCGAGACAACUGUUGAACCGAGAUACGAGGGACCGCGUGGAACGAGAGGCAAUCCUUCCUUUUCUCUUCCGAUCGUAUAUACGUGUAUAUUACGACCGAAUCGAACGGUCGUCUAGAAUCUAGAGAGUUUAGAGAGGAUUUCGGCUGGCUCUCCGUAAGCUUCCUCCGUAUUGUUUGGUUCAGAAGGAUCGGGACUGUUUGUACUACGUCCACAUCGCAAGGUACGGUGUGGUCACUACAUAUUGUGGCAUUAGUAAAAUUAAGAUCACGUUUAGAGAAUGAAGUGGAUACACGUGUCGUGCCACGUAGCGAAUAUUCCAUCUGUUCUACUCGUAUUUUCAUCGUUUGCUUCUUUUCCAUCCGCAUCUCUCUUAUUCUUUGCUGUUCUCUAUUCAGAGCGAAAUGUUCCUCUCUACGAUCCUGUUUCAACGAAAAUUUCGAUAGAAUCGCGUAACAUCCCAUAGAGCCAGUGAAAUUAGUUCGAUCGAUCAAAGUUGAAAAUUUCCCUUCUCCUCUAUUCUGAUAUCACGAAAGUCACGAUAGAUUAAUUUCGCGUUGAUGCGGGCAAACGACGACAAUAGGAGUACGGCAAAACUCACUCUGCGCUGAUAUACGUGUACAUGUAUGUAAUGUGAUCUUUUUGGGAAGAAAGCUUAAUUAAUACGUAAAAAUGAAAAGUUGGAAAGAUGAAAAUUCGGGAAGGUAUGCGAGGAUCAAGCGUGUAUGUACGCGUGCAACAACGUAACUAGUUUGCGAAUAAUGGAUAAUUAGCACGCGCCUAAAUCGUUCCACGAGGCGUUCCCCUCCUAUGACUAUGGAGGACGAGCGAUCGACACUCGUUGGAACCGGCGGCAAUUAACAAAUAAAAGAAAGGAAGAAAGAAAGAAAGAAACGAAAAAAAAAAAAAAUGGAAAAAAGUGGAAAGAAAGCGUUAAAAAAGCGACGACAAAAAAAUGGGAAACACACAUACACAUACACACGAAUAAAAAAAAAAAAAGAACAAAAUGUAAUAUUAGUAGGGAACCGUAAUUUUUCAUGCUCGUUUCUCGAUCACACUACUCUAAUUACCCAGAUGUAAUUUGUACUGUGUAACUAUUACUAUUUUUAUGAAUUUUUGUACAUUUUUCUAAUUAUUUUGUAUGAUAAUCCUUAGCGGAAAGAGUGGCGAGUCUGGCACCCAGCAUCCCCUAAUAGAAAUAAAAGUGUUCAAAACGGUGGAGACAGCGUAAUCGAUAUGUUGGAGAGUGACGAAGAAGGGAAAGGGAGAUUUCUAAUACGACACGAUUACGUUACGCAAUUGUACGUGUGCACGAGCGCGAAGACGUUCUUUCUUUUCUUUUUUUACGGGGUUGAAUAAGGGUGUCGGAAUAGAAAGGAUUUCAAAUUCGAUUUAUAUAGGAAACAAGUGAAACCAACAGAGGGAUUUAAUGCGCGUAGAUCGUUUCAAAGGAAAGCCACAGUUAUUGAAUAGCGUAGUCCACCAUUUGUCCGUGUAGUUUAUCUGCUCGCCUAUCUAUCUGUCUGCCUGUCUGUCCUUCUGUCUAUAUCUAUGUCCGUCUAUCUGUCUAUUGUCUAUUUAGAUCUAUUUUUCCGUUUAAUUUCAUGCACCUUGCCAUUAACGAAUAUCGAAAGUCAGGAUAUAGAUAUAAAUUAGUCGCGAGGAACAUUUAUUAUCGAGAUAUUUGAAUACUGUACAAUGCCGAGAAAGCGAGUGCAAUUUACGAAUGUAAACGUAUAAUUUAAGAAGAAAUAGACAAGCGAGAGGAAAUAAUGGGAAAGGGAGAGAAAGAAAGACAGGCAGACGACACUUACGAGAAAAUAAUGGUGAUGAAAACCGAAAGCCUCGCGUAUAAACGCGGAAACCGAAUGUGUGAACCUCCUUCGUAAUUUGACAACGUGUUUGUUAUUAAUUAUAAGAAUAUCACCUUUUCUUUUUGUCUUAAAUUUGAAAUGCUAUCAAAUAGAUCAAUUCUUUCAUGGAA